GUAUAAAUACAGUCUCUCAGGAGACGACUGACCCCUGGUGUCUAUGAGUUUAUUACACAAAAACAAAUGAAGAAACAAGAUAAGAGCACUCACAGAGACAGACUGUAGCUUGGAGACAAAUGAGCUGAACAUCUAUCUAUAUAUACACACACACACACACACACACACACACACACACACACACACACACACACACACACACACACACAGGAAAACAGUCUCUCCUUUCUGAAACUACAUUAUUUGUGGUGUUUAAUAUGAACAUUAUUUUCCUUUUUCUUCACCAGAGGAUCAUGAAGGUUCAGUUUGUCUGUUUGCUGCUGGGCCUGCUUUCCUCUGUGGAGCUCUCAGCAAGCCUGAACGCCUAUCAAAAACAUGUCAUUAAAAACAUAAUUUAAUUAAUAAAGUAUUGAAAAGAGUAAUAAGAGUAAUAUUACAACUAAGUAGCUGCUGCCAUUCUUAGAAACUGGAAUUGGCUGGGCCGUGCUAUGAAUUCUGGGGUAGGUUGGGCCACGAAGGAUACACCCGACCCUUCCUUCAAAUUCGGGGAAAUGAAGGACGCAUUUGUCGGCCGCAUGUGGAGAAGCCUUCGAAUUGGGACAGCCUUCGUCGCCUGGCUGUGACUUAAUCAGCCUUUAAAUGCGGCCUCCGAAAGAUGCAGACCCUGAAUUGGAAAAUAGCAAGAAUACACUGACACAGGGUACAGGACUGUCAAAGGAAAUACAUGAACAUAGAAACCAGGACUCCAGACGUAACACAAGGAACACAAGGUGGAGUCGGAGCUGUGCCAUAUGAGGGGAUUAGCCAUGUACAGAGGGAGUGUAUCACACUGUCUCCCACACAAACUACAGAUAACACACCCUUGCCUUUGAAAUCACCUGGCAUGGCGGGGGUCUGCCUUCUCAUUCAGCACUCAGAGGCUGGUUAGCAAUGGGUCUGCCUGGAGGAGCCUAGUCUGUGUCUUUUUUUCUCCCAUUAUUGCUCUUUGUCUACACGGACGGGGCGCUGAGUGACUUCUAAGGAGAAGCUGCAUGAGUUGGCAUCACGCCUGCUGUGCCCUCAUCUGCUUGGGGCACUGUUACACAUGCACACACACACACACACGCGCACAGAGCAGAGGUAAGUCUUAAUCAGUAACACAGAUGACCAGAAGGCAGGGGUGGAGGUCCAUCAGUGACCAUCUUCAUCCGCCCACAUUACCACAGCUGGAGUCUGCACAUUGUGAUGGCCAAACCCGUGGCCACACUCUAAAGUCAGUAACUCUUGUAUUUUCAUUUCUUCAUUUGAACACCGUAACACACUUUAGUUUUCAAUAACUUUAUUGAUUGGUGUGGAUACAUUUGUUCUAUUUGUAAGCGCACACAUUUACUUUACUUAUGUAUUCAUGCCACUUCAUUACUUUGAUUUUUGACUAACCUUUGUCUUUUUAUUUCUUACCUGCCAUCAUCCCUGGGAGUUGCUGGACAAAAGAUGGUAGCCAGGGUUUGAAACCACUAAAUGCAAAGAGGGAUAAUUGGACCACACCACCACUCCCUGCUGAAGGGGAGAAUGUGUGUUUGCUUCAAUUUAAAAACAAAGUAUUUGUAUUUAAUUAAAUAUUUGAGUUUAGGGUUUAAUGGUUUUGAUUUUCUUCUUUAGUGUUUAGUUUAUUAACAAACUAGACUGUACUGCAUUGUUUUGUGAUUUAUGAUUGUGUUUGUUUGUUACCCCUCAUGUGUCACAACGGUCUGAUCAGCCAUUACAUGUACCCCUGUGUGUCAUUUCAUGUUUAGGUCAGUUAUGUUUGUUUGGGCAGUCAUUUGGUUUGUUAAGUUUGCAGUCUUGGCCUGAGUUCAGUUUUGUUUCUUUGACCUCUUUUAUGAGCUCAACAUUUAUUACUUUUGUAA
ensembl:lncRNA